rnacentral:rRNA from 1 species
GACGAACGCUGGCGGCGUGCUUAACACAUGCAAGUCGAACGGAAAGGCCCUGCUUUUGUGGGGUGCUCGAGUGGCGAACGGGUGAGUAACACGUGAGUAACCUGCCCUUGACUUUGGGAUAACUUCAGGAAACUGGGGCUAAUACCGGAUAGGAGCUCCUGCUGCAUGGUGGGGGUUGGAAAGUUUCGGCGGUUGGGGAUGGACUCGCGGCUUAUCAGCUUGUUGGUGGGGUAGUGGCUUACCAAGGCUUUGACGGGUAGCCGGCCUGAGAGGGUGACCGGCGACAUUGGGACUGAGGUACGGCCCAGACUCGAACGGGAGGCAGCAGUGGGGAAUAUUGCACAAUGGGCGGAAGCCUGAUGCAGCAACGCCGCGUGCGGGAUGACGGCCUUCGGGUUGUAAACCGCUUUCGCCUGUGACGAAGCGUGAGUGACGGUAAUGGGUAAAGAAGCACCGGCUAACUACGUG